GGGCCUGUAAUCUAGCUGGAUUAAGAGAUGCGUGUUUACGACUGGGAUGUCGCAGGUUCGAAUCCUGCCAGGCCCA
rnacentral:tRNA from 1 species